ACAUACGACCAUAGGACGUUGAAAACAAGGCUUCCCGUUCGCUCAGCCCUAUUUAAGCAACGUACCGGCGGAUUAGUAGUUAGGUGGGUGACCACUAGCGAAUACCCGCUGUUGUAUGUU
rfam:Ascochyta rabiei strain ArDII scaffold_214, whole genome shotgun sequence.